CCUACGGGUGGCAGCAGUGAGGAAUAUUGGUCAAUGGGCGCGAGCCUGAACCAGCCACGCAGCGUGAAGGAUGACGGCCCUACGAGUUGUAAACUUCUUUUAUAGAGGAAUAAAGUUAGACACGUGUGCCUUUUUGUAUGUACUGUACGAAUAAGGAUCGGCUAACCCCGUGCCAGCAGCCGCGGUAAUACGGAGGAUCCGAGCGUUAUCCGGAUCUAUUGGGUUUAAAGGGAGACUAAGUGGGUGGGUAAGUUAGUUGUGAAAUUCUGUGGCUCAACCCUAGAAUUGCAAUUGAUACUGGCAGUCUUGAGUACAGUUGAGGUAGGCGGAAUUCGUGGUGUAGCGGUGAAAUGCUUAGAUAUCACGAAGAACACCGAUUGCGAAGGCAGCUUACUAAGCUGCGACUGACGUUGAGGCUCGAAAGCGUGGGGAUCAAACAGGAUUAGAUACCCUAGUAGUC
rnacentral:rRNA from 1 species